rnacentral:lncRNA from 1 species
GCAAUCACAGCAAUCGUCACUUGGUGGAGCCAGAUUACUCUGCAUGUGAAUGUGCUUUACAAAUAGUUUUCAGAAAAGCUAUCAAAGACAGGAUUUAUAAAUAUUACUUUGGAGGAAGAUUAAAAACAAAUUGUGGGAUUUUAAUACAUCCUUUUAGGAAUUAGGAGCUUUACAUCUUUGCUUUUAAUUACUCUAGCACAGAAGAAGUAUCAGACUUGCUGGGCAAAGCAGAGGCUAUCUCUAUUUGCUGGAAUAAAAUAGGAAUACAGUGUUGGUAUAUUUGAUAAUGUACAUGCAAACCUGCAAGGAUGAAGCCAUAGCUUUCAAUUUUGAGAACAGAUGAUACAUGGAGGAAAAAAGGAGGAGAUACCACACUGUAAACACCUUCUCUAUACUCUGCUAACUCCCAUGUGUGUUUUUAGAACUACAUCUGCUUCUGUGACCUGUUGA